rnacentral:rRNA from 1 species
UACGUAGGGUGCAAGCGUUGUCCGGAAUUAUUGGGCGUAAAGAGCUCGUAGGCGGUCUGUCACGUCGGCUGUGAAAACUCGGGGCUCAACCCCGAGCCUGCAGUCGAUACGGGCAGACUAGAGUCCGGCAGGGGAGACUGGAAUUCCUGGUGUAGCGGUGAAAUGCGCAGAUAUCAGGAGGAACACCGGUGGCGAAGGCGGGUCUCUGG